GAUGAACGCUGGCGGCGUGCCUAAUACAUGCAAGUCGAGCGAACAGAUGAGGAGCUUGCUCCUCUGACGUUAGCGGCGGACGGGUGAGUAACACGUGGAUAACCUACCUAUAAGACUGGGAUAACUUCGGGAAACCGGAGCUAAUACCGGAUAAUAUAUUGAACCGCAUGGUUCAAUAGUGAAAGACGGUUUUGCUGUCACUUAUAGAUGGAUCCGCGCCGCAUUAGCUAGUUGGUAAGGUAACGGCUUACCAAGGCAACGAUGCGUAGCUGACCUGAGAGGGUGAUCGGCCACACUAGAACUGAGACACGGUCCAGACGCCUACGGGAGGCACCAGUAGGGAAUCUUCCGCAAUGGGCGAUAGCCUAACGGAGCAACGCCACGUGAGUGAUAAAGGUCUUCGGAUCGUAAAACUCUGUUAUUAGGGAAGAACAAAUGUGUAAGUAACUAUGCACGUCUUGACGGUACCUAAUCAGAAAGCCACGGCUAACUACGUG
rnacentral:rRNA from 1 species